GAGUGGAAAUCUGAUAUUUUGUUCAGGGGAAACAGAGUUGUAUUCUUUAGAACAACUAAUGAGAGCAUCAGCAGAGUUGCUUGGAAGAGGCACAAUUGGAACAACGUAUAAAGCUCUGAUGGCUAGUCAGUUAAUCGUUUCAGUAAAGCGAUUGGAUGCUGGUAAAACUUCGAUUACAAGUGCAGAAGCGUUUGAGCAACACAUGGAGUCAGUUGGGAUGUUGCGGCAUCCAAAUUUGGUUGCAGUUAGAGCAUACUUUCAGGCUAAACAAGAAAGGCUUGUUAUCUAUGAUUAUCAGCCUAAUGGUAGUCUCUUCAAUCUAAUUCAUGGUUCAAGAUCAACAAGGGCAAGGCCUCUUCACUGGACAUCAUGUCUAAAAAUAGC
rnacentral:misc_RNA from 1 species